GAUGAACGCUGGCGGCGUGCCUAAUACAUGCAAGUCGAACGAACAGACGAGGAGCUUGCUCCUCUGACGUUAGCGGCGGUCGGGUGAUUAAUAUGUGGAUAACCUACCUAAAAGACAGGGAUAAUUUCGGCAAACCGGAGCUAAUACCGGAUAAUAUAUCGAACCGCAUGGUUCACUAGUGUAAGACGGUUUUUCUUUCACUUAUAGACUCAUCCGAGGCGCAUUAGGUAGUUGGUAAGGUAACGGCUUACCCAGGCAGCGAUGCGUAUCCGACAUGAGAGGGUGGUCAGGCACCCUGUAACUGAGGCAGAGUCGACACUCCUACGGGAGGCAGCAGUACGGAGUCUUCCGCAAUGGGCGAAAGCCUAACGGUGCGACAUCGCGUGAGUGAUGACGGUAUUAUGAGGGUAAAACUCUGCUAGUAGUAAAAAAGAAAUGUUCGUUUAACUAUGCACGUCUUGACGGUACCUGGUCAGGAAGCCACGGCUAACUACGUG
rnacentral:rRNA from 1 species